CCUACGGGAGACAGCAGUGAGGAAUAUUGGUCAAUGGACGAGAGUCUGAACCAGCCAAGUAGCGUGAAGGAUGACUGCCCUAUGGGUUGUAAACUUCUUUUAUAUGGGAAUAAAAUGUUCCACGUGUGGGAUUUUGUAUGUACCAUAUGAAUAAGGAUCGGCUAACUCCGUGCCAGCAGCCGCGGUAAUACGGAGGGUCCGAGCGUUAUCCGGCUUUAUUGGGUUUAAAGGGAGCGUAGGUGGAUUGUUAAGUCAGUUGUGAAAGUUUGCGGCUCAACCGUAAAAUUGCAGUUGAAACUGGCAGUCGUGAGUACAGUAGAGGUGGGCGGAAUGCGUGGUGUAGCGGUGAAAUGCUUAGAUAUCACGAAGAACUCCGAUUGCGAAGGCAGCUCACUGGACUGCAACUGACACUGAGGCUCGAAAGUGUGGGUAUCAAACAGGAUUAGAUACCCCAGUAGUC
rnacentral:rRNA from 1 species